AGAAGGUGAUGGUGGCGAUCGACGAGAGCGAGUUUAGCCUAUACGCCUUCAAUUGGGCGCUCGAAAAUCUGCGCGAGACCAUCCAGAGUUCGCAGCUAGUCGUCUUCACUGCACAGCCCAUUGACUUCGCUUCCACUUAUGCUGCCAGUUACGGAGCUGCCCGUAGGGUCUCUAAAUCUUAAUCUCACUACCUCUUUUGUUGAAGUUACCGGUUUGUAAUUGUAUGCUUGAUCAAGCUGUUGUUUUCUGAUUUUUCUCUAUACAUUGUGCAGCUGCUCAGUUGGUAACAUCUUUGCUUGAAAACCACAAGAAGGUGGCGCUGGCUUUGUUGGAGAGAGCUAAAGAAAUUUGUGCCAAACAUGGGGUACAAAUACAAUCAAAGUUCCUUUCUUUUCCUUCCUAAAACUACAUCUGAUUUUGCGAAAAAUUCCUCGUUUUCGACUGUGCAGAUUGUUCCAGAGACAGUGACAGAGGUAGGCGAUCCGAAGGUGGUGAUAUGUGAAGCAGUCGAGAAACACAACAUCCAGUUGCUUGUGUUAGGCAGCCACGGUCGCGGAGGUAUCCAAAGGUAUGUGCGUUCUUAUUCAGUUUGGAGUGUAGAUGGCUUAAAACCUAGUGCGAAAAUCGCUUUCUGAUUGAUAUGUUCUGUUGGGACAGGGCUUUUUUGGGAAGCGUAAGCAAUUACUGCGUACAUAACGCUAAGUGUCCUGUUCUUGUUGUGAGGAAACAGAACUGAACGCUUAUAUGUUCUCUUGUUCUUCAAGUUAAUAUCCAAAACCCAAACUUGCAUCUUCCGCAAGAAAAUGUUGCGUGCUGCUUGAUAAUUUUUGAAAUUAGAGUCAUGUAAUAACUGGAAACUUCAUGAUUGAAUAAAGCAUGCAUUUUAUGGUUUGAUUAAGUGACACGUGUUGGCCCAUAUCAAUAAUUCAUAUCUCGAUUGUAGACUGUACUUAGAUUGAAAGCAUCAUUCUGGAACUUUUCAUUAUGCGUUACACUAGUGAUACAAGUAAUAUUGUCCAACAGUUAACUGGUAUUGCCCCACGUCUUCCAUCAAAUCCAUCCAAUUUUCAAAUUCAGAUUCGUGAAAUUUAAUUUAACGAUUAAAAUUAUUAUAAUUUUUAAAGAGAUUUCCUGUUUAUAGUCGUUUGAUCAAAUUUUAAAAACUUAAAUUUACGAAUUAGGUUGAUUUAGUGCAAGGAAUCCGAAAAAAAUAUCUUUCCGAAAAUGAUAGUGGCCCAUUCAAUAAAAUAAUGCAUUGAUAAUACCCCCAAGAAGAUAAACAUAGCACGUCAGAAACUUGUUUCAUAAUUCCGGAAAUGUGACACGUAGUGAUCGGACUUUGUGGGGCGGCUCACUAGAAAGUUUUCACGUUGUCACGAUUAAGGCCAAUUUAGUCAAGGAGAAAUUCAAAUUAAGCGACUUAUUUUAGAACUUUUGAGACUAAAUAUUUAUGCCUUUUUUUUAAUUUUUAAUUAAGCUUUUCAAGCUUUUAAUUAAGGUGCUUUGACUUGAGUUCACAUGAGCAUUAAUUUAUUUAUUUACAUAUCAGCAUUUAAUAUAUAUUAAAUAUUUUUUUUAUUAAUGUGCUUUCACCUGUAUUUUAUUUUCAUUUUUUUAUAAACGAACAAUAUUAUUUACAUUAAAGAGUUGAAGGAGUAGAUCAAGAAUUACAAUGAGUUUUGUAAUAAUAUGGUUCAAAUUCGUCCUCGAUGAAAAUCGAACUUUAAGACAUUUUACUUACAAGUGAAGAAAAAUACUAGUAGAUCGUAGUAUUAAGUGACUAUUCUUCUUGUUUUUAAAUCUCAUCGCUUGCUUAAUUUAAGGAACUCCUAUUAUCUUAACGAAUAAUACUUGGUUACUAAAAAAUGAGUAGGAAUUCCUACUUAAAAUUCUUAAUGUUUUAAUCACUGAGUUUUGUACUUAUGAUCAGAACCGUUCAUACUAUGAAUCACACUAUAAAGAUCAUCUCUGGAAAAAAUAAAUUAAAAACAAGGUCGUUUAGUUAAUCUAUGUAGCAAAUACAUAGACGGUUCGUAAUGCUUUUACCAAUGUCAUUCAUUUGUUUUAAACAAUUUGGUGAUUAAACGACCUUAAUUUUAAUUGAUUUUUUGUAGAUGUGAUCUUUAUAUGAUGAUUUAUAAUAUGAACAGCUCUGAUUAUAAACACGAAAUUCUAUAAAUUGUCAACAAAUAAUUUUGAGAAAUUUUGAGUAUGAGUUCCUACUCAUCUUUGAGUAGCCAAAUAUUAUUCCAUCGUAACUAUUAGAAAGUUUUUUUUUAAAUCAAAAUUAAUUGGUUAAUUUAAUACAGCUCUACAAUCAUUUUCAGAACCUAAUUUCCAGGUCAUCAAAUUUUUCUGUUUUUUUUUCACUCUCCAACGUACCCAGUAAAAUCUGUGUUUCAACUUUAAAUUGUAUGCACGCUACAUGGAAAUGUACCAAUAUGGAAAACGAAUUAGAAUUACAUAAUGUAUCUAACGAUUUGGUACAUAACUACGUAUUAGUAGUUUUGUAUGUAUCCGAAUUACACAACGUACCAAUGAUUUGCAUGUACCAAAAUGAGCAUUUCAAAUAUAGAUUCUAGUAAACUCGGGCACUUACAAUAAGGGCAUCUUCAAACAACAAAGUUACAAUUAAAAAGCUAAAAAAUUUACUAAACAAACACUUAUAUAUUAGUCUAUAAAGUUUUUCAUACAAAACGCUUAAAAUCAUUGUUGGUGAAGUCAGUCAUGUUGAUACUAAGAGAAAUGCUAAGGAGACUCUUUCAAAGUGAGACUCUUUAUGGACUUUCCCCCACUUAAUGUUUUUGGCGCAAUGUUUAAUAAUGUUGGUACGAGGAUUGUGCUAAAAACAUGAGGUGACGGAAAAUCCAUGGAGAAGUCUAAUUUUGGAAGAGUCUCCUUAGCAUUUCUCUUGAUACCAAUUAGCAUAUAGGGUUUAAUUUUUAUUUUAAUUAGGGUUGGUCAUUGAGAUGCAAAAUUGUACAAUUUUUCUGCACCCAACAAAAAAUUUGAGUGGAGGCACCCACCCCCUCUAGGCCUAUAGUGGCUCCGUCUUUGCGCACCUAUAUCAAAAUGUUUUAUUGUUUAACAAGUUGCUUGUAAUUCUGCUAGUUAAGAACAUUUAUUUUUACAUUUAGAAGUUUGUGUUGUUUCUCCUUUUCAUAAUUAGAUAAAUUUAGUGUUGUUUCUGUUGAUUUUUUUUAAUAUCAUUCAAAUAAAAAAUAAAUAAAUGGAAUUAGAAGCACUGGCAAAACGUAAACUUGACGAAUUUAUGAAUGAUAAUCCUCUCCGAAUUCUCUCGAUAAUUCUUUAAUCACGUUCGUUCAUCGUAUAUCGUGCAAUCAGAAAUUAUUGUAAAUUUUUUAUGUAAAAUUGAAUAAAAAAAUUACCUGAUAAAAACUAAUCGUACGAUACGAUGAACGACAUAAUCGGAGAAGAUUUUCAUUCGAUGAAAAAAGAGCAAAGUUAUCUAAAUCCUCUUAUAUGUGGGGUCGGACUAGGUGUUUGACUGGCGGUUGUGACCUGAGAAAACCCAUCCUCUGUUUCUUCAACUACCAUUUUGACAAAAUCCAUCCCAAAAACCCGAUAAAUAGAGAUACAACUGCCCCUGGUUUUGCCAACAAAAAAGCGAAGGAAAAAAAUGGGAGAGGCGAUUCCGAGAGGAGAAGAAAGAAUGGGAGAAGUGGUUGCAAAGGGAGCCGAGAAGAAGGUGAUGGUGGCCAUUGACGAGAGCGAGUGCAGUCAUUACGCUCUCAUGUGGGUUCUCGACAACCUCAAAGACUCCAUAACCAACUCGCCCUUGAUCAUCUUCAUGGCUCAGACUCCCUCCAACGGCAACAUCACCUUCUCGGCGUCGCUCGGCGCUGCUCGCAUGUACUGUCCUAUGUCUUCCAGUUAAGUUGUUCAGAAUUUCUUCAUGAGGUUUUUCUUUUGUUCUUUUUAAGGUUGAUACCGUACACAUAAGUGGAGAUGUGAAAUCUUCUGACAAGUUGUUUGUUAUUCGUGUUACGGAAUUCAGGUCAGGAGUUUGUUAACUCUUCCCAAGAAA
rnacentral:lncRNA from 1 species